rnacentral:rRNA from 1 species
UAAUACGGAGGGUGCAAGCGUUAAUCGGAAUUACUGGGCGUAAAGCGCACGCAGGCGGUUUGUUAAGUCAGAUGUGAAAUCCCCGAGCUUAACUUGGGAACUGCAUUUGAAACUGGCAAGCUAGAGUCUUGUAGAGGGGGGUAGAAUUCCAGGUGUAGCGGUGAAAUGCGUAGAGAUCUGGAGGAAUACCGGUGGCGAAGGCGGCCCCCUGGACAAAGACUGACGCUCAGGUGCGAAAGCGUGGGGAGCAAACAGGAUUAGAUACCCUGGUAGUCCACGCUGUAAACGAUGUCGACUUGGAGGUUGUGCCCUUGAGGCGUGGCUUCCGGAGCUAACGCGUUAAGUCGACCGCAUGGGGAGUACGGCCGCAAGGUUAAA